rnacentral:rRNA from 1 species
UACGAAGGGGGCUAGCGUUGUUCGGAUUUACUGGGCGUAAAGCGCACGUAGGCGGAUCGUUAAGUGAGGGGUGAAAUCCCAGGGCUCAACCUCGGAACUGCCUUCGAUACUGGUAAUCUUGAGUCCGGGAGAGGUGAGUGGAACUCCUAGUGUAGAGGUGAAAUUCGUAGAUAUUAGGAAGAACACCAGUGGCGAAGGCGGCUCACUGGCCCGGAACUGACGCUGAUGUGCGAAAGCGUGGGGAGCAAACAGG